GCUGCGUUAGCUCAGUGGUAGAGCGGAGGAUUGCAGAUCCUCAGGUCUUGUGUUCGAACCACAAACGCAGCU
rnacentral:tRNA from 3 species